CCUACGUGGGGCAGCAGUGAGGAAUAUUGGUCAAUGGGCGCGAGCCUGAACCAGCCAAGUAGCGUGAAGGAUGACUGCCCUACGGGUUGUAAACUUCUUUUAUAAAGGAAUAAAGUGAGGCACGUGUGCCUUUUUGUAUGUACUUUAUGAAUAAGGAUCGGCUAACUCCGUGCCAGCAGCCGCGGUAAUACGGAGGAUCCGAGCGUUUUCCGGAUUUAUUGGGUUUAAAGGGAGCGUAGAUGGGUUGUUAAGUCAGUUGUGAAAGUUUGGGGCUCAACCGUAAAAUUGCAGUUGAUACUGGCGGUCUUGAGUACGGUUGAGGUAGGCGGAAUUCGUGGUGUAGCGGUGAAAUGCUUAGAUAUCACGCAGAACUCCGAUUGCGAAGGCAGCUUACUA
rnacentral:rRNA from 1 species